rnacentral:pre_miRNA from 1 species
UAGGGUUGCCACCUGUCCGGUUUUGACCAGGACAGCCUGGUUUUCGGAAGAGCUGUCUGGAUCAAAACCGGACAGGUGGCAACCCUAGAUCUCU